rnacentral:rRNA from 1 species
GUAGUAGCAAAUACUCUAGCGAGACCCUGGAGGGCUGAUGUGGAGAAGGGUUUCGUGUGAACAGCCGUUGCACACGAGUCAGUCGAUCCUAAGCUCUAGGAGAAAUCCGAUGUAUGAGUGGCCGCUGGUCCCGUCGAGCGAAAGGGAAUCCGGUCCCUAUUCCGGAACCCGGUUGCGGAACCGUCUCACGUCGGGCCCCCGGCUUCGGCCGGUAGCUCGUCGGGGUAACCCAAACAGACCCGGAGAAGCCGUCGGGAGGUCGGGGAAGAGUUUUCUUUUCUGUUUGAGCGUUCGGGUUCCCUGGAAUUGUCUAGCACAGAGAGAGGGAAUGGAGCGCGUAGAGCACCGCAGUUGCGGCGGUGUCCCGACAUGCCCUUCGGACCUUGAAAAUCCGGGGAAGGGCCACGUGGAGGUAUCGCACCGGUUCGUACCCAUAUCCGCAGCAGGUCUCCAAGGUGAAGAGCCUCUAGUCGAUAGACUAAUGUAGGUAAGGGAAGUCGGCAAAUUGGAUCCGUAACUUCGGAAUAAGGAU